GAUGAACGCUGGCGGCGUGCCUAAUACUUGCAAGUCGAGCGAACAGAUGAGGAGCUUGCUCCUCUGACGUUAGCGGCGGACGGGUGAGUAACACGUGGAUAACCUACCUAUAAGACUGGGAUAACUUCGGGAAACCGGAGCUAAUACCGGAUAAUAUAUUGAACCGCAUGGUUCAAUAGUGAAAGACGGUUUUGCUGUCACUUAUAGAUGGAUCCGCGCCGCAUUAGCUAGUUGGUAAGGUAACGGCUUACCAAGGCAACGAUGCGUAGCCGACCUGAGAGGGUGAUCGGCCACACUGGAACUGAGACACGGUCCAGACUCCUACGGGAGGCAGCAGUAGGGAAUCUUCCGCAAUGGGCGAAAGCCUGACGGAGCAACGCCGCGUGAGUGAUGAAGGUCUUCGGAUCGUAAAACUCUGUUAUUAGGGAAGAACAAAUGUGUAAGUAACUAUGCACGUCUUGACGGUACCUAAUCAGAAAGCCACGGCUAACUACGUG
rnacentral:rRNA from 1 species